AGUGUUUUGUAGGUGUACAAAAACCCCCCUCAGUCCAGCUGCACAGAGACUGCACUCUCACACUCAUCAGUUUUUAGUAGGAGAUCAUAUUCAGAGUGCAGAACUUCCCAAGAGUCUAACUGGACGUGAUGGACACAGUGGUCAGCAGCAGUUGGUGUGCUGUGAGACAGAGUGACCCACCAUGGAGUCUGACAGGCAGACUGACCAGCAAGGAGAGCCACAGCCCACCUCAGCCCCUCCCAGCAGCCUCCUGGAGCUCCACCCUCCCACACUGAUCAAUAAAACUCCCACUACUGAUCCUGGAGUGUGGAGCUGGGAGGCGUGCAGGAACGCUGCUGUGAUGUUUCUCACUGGCCAUGUUCCUGCUGGACCAUUACUCUCUGUACACUGUGAUAAAGAGCCCAGGAGAAUCAGCUGGAGCUUCAUUCCCCACUGCACUUAUUACACUGUUUAUACUCCCAUUACUUCCCUCAGAAGAACCUCACUACAUGGUCUUCUACAGGACCAUCCCAUGCCAUGUCAUGAAGUAGUUCAUAGUCCAGAUUAAAGUGUGUUUUGGAUCGUUGUUGUUUCAGA